rnacentral:miRNA from 1 species
UGAGCCAAGGAUGACUUGCCA